AGUGGCGCACGGGUGAGUAACGCGUACACAACCUACCCUUAAGUGGGGUAUAGCCCUGGGAAACUGGGAAUAAUACCGCAUAAUAUUACUGAAUCGCAUGGUUUAGUAAUUAAAGCUUCGGCGCUUAAGGAUGGGUGUGCGUUCCAUUAGUUAGUUGGUGAGGUAACGGCUCACCAAGGCGACGAUGGGUAGGGGGCGUGAGAGCGUGGUCCCCCACACGGGUACUGAGACACGGACCCGACUCCUACGGGAGGCAGCAGUAAGGAAUAUUGGACAAUGGGCGGAAGCCUGAUCCAGCCAUCCCGCGUGCAGGAUGAAUGCCCUAUGGGUUGUAAACUGCUUUUAUAAGGGAAGAAACCCCUGGACUUGUCCGGGGCUGACGGUACCUUAAGAAUAAGCACCGGCUAACUCCGUGCCAGCAGCCGCGGUAAUACGGAGGGUGCAAGCGUUAUCCGGAAUCACUGGGUUUAAAGGGUGCGUAGGCGGCCAAAUAAGUCAGAGGUGAAAUCCUACAGCUUAACUGUAGAACUGCCUUUGAAACUGUUUAGCUAGAAUAGAGUUGAGGUUAGCGGAAUGUGACAUGUAGCGGUGAAAUGCAUAGAUAUGUCAUAGAACACCAAUUGCGAAGGCAGCUAACUG
rnacentral:rRNA from 1 species